CACCGCGGUUAUACGAGAGGCCCAAGUUGAUACUAUUCGGCGUAAAGCGUGGUUAAGAGGCCCAGCAUUAAACUAAAGUCGAAUGCUCCCAAAGCUGUUAUACGCACCUGGCAGCACGAAGCACAACUACAAAAGUAACUUUAACCUCCCCGAACCCACGAAAACUAAGAUA
rnacentral:rRNA from 1 species